rnacentral:rRNA from 1 species
GACGAACGCUGGCGGCGUGCUUAACACAUGCAAGUCGAGCGGUAAGGCUCCUUCGGGAGUACACGAGCGGCGAACGGGUGAGUAACACGUGAGCAAUCUGCCCUUCACUUCGGGAUAACCCUCGGAAACGAGAGCUAAUACCGAAUACGACCAGUCCAGACAUCUGAUGCUGGUGGAAAGUUCCGGCGGUGAAGGAUGAGCUCGCGGCCUAUCAGCUUGUUGGUGGGGUAACGGCCCACCAAGGCUUCGACGGGUAGCCGGCCUGAGAGGGUGACCGGCCACACUGGGACUGGGACACGGCCCAGACUCCUACGGGAGGCAGCAGUGGGGAAUAUUGGACAAUGGGCGAAAGCCUGAUCCAGCAACGCCGCGUGAGGGAUGACGGCCUUCGGGUUGUAAACCUCUUUCAGCAGGGACGAAGCGCAAGUGACGGUACCUGCAGAAGAAGCACCGGCCAACUACGUGCCAGCAGCCGCGGUAA